rnacentral:rRNA from 1 species
GACGAACGCUGGCGGCGUGCUUAACACAUGCAAGUCGAACGGUGAAGGGGUCUGCUUUUGUGGGCCCUGGAUGAGUGGCGAACGGGUGAGUCACACGUGAGUAACCUGCCCCCUUCUUCUGGCUAACCGCAUGAAAGUGUGGCUAAUACGGGAUAUUCUGGGUCUGUCGCAUGGUGGGGCUGGGUAAGAUUGCGCCUUUGGGUGUUUUUGGUGGGGGAUUGGCUCGUGGCGUAUUGGCUUGUGGGUGGUGUGAUGGCCUACCAGGGCGGUGACGGGUAGCCGGUCGGAGGGGGGCGACGGUCAGAGGGGGACUGGGACACUGCGGAGACUGCUACGGGAGGGAGCAGUAGGGGAUAUAGCAGAGGGGGAGCAAGCCUGAUGCAGCGACGCCGGGUGAGGGAUGGAGGCGUUCGGGUUGUAGGCCUCUGGGGCGAGAGAAGCAGGCCUGCUCCAUGUGGGUGGAUUGACGGUAGCUGGAUAAGAAGCGCCGGCUAACUACGUG